rnacentral:rRNA from 1 species
CAGCAGCCGCGGGAAUACGUAGGGUGCAAGCGUUAAUCGGAAUUACUGGGCGUAAAGCGUGCGCAGGCGGUUAUAUAAGACAGAUGUGAAAUCCCCGGGACCAACCUGGGAACUGCAUUUGUGACUGUAUAGCUAGAGUACGGCAGAGGGGGAUGGAAUUCCGCGUGUAGCAGUGAAAUGCGUAGAUAUGCGGAGGAACACCGAUGGCGAAGGCAAUCCCCUGGGCCUGUACUGACGCUCAUGCACGAAAGCGUGGGGAGCAAACAGGAUUAGAGACCCGCGUAGUCCCUGUCUCUUAUAC